UACGGAGGGGGCAAGCGUUAUUCGGAAUUAUUGGGCGUAAAGGGCGCGUAGGCGGCUCGAUAAGUCAAAGGUGAAAUCCCUCGGCUCAACUGAGGAACUGCCUUCGAAACUGCCGAGCUUGAGUCCGGGAGGGGGUGGCGGAAUUCCCAGUGUAGCGGUGAAAUGCGUAGAUAUUGGGAGGAACACCAGUGGCGAAGGCGGCCACCUGGACCGGAACUGACGCUGAGGCGCGAAAGCGUGGGUAGCAAACAGG
rnacentral:rRNA from 1 species